rnacentral:lncRNA from 1 species
CUAAAAUUUGCCUCAGCAGUUGGCAGGAGUCAGAUGUUGCACAGCCAUGCUUCAUAUCCUGAUGCUCCAGAAUCCUGGACUUGCUUUCCACGCACCUCCCUGCUGAGGAUGUUAGCAACCAAAUGGAGCCAGCAGAAAGCUGAGUGAGCUAACAGUCUGAUCUGACGCAGGAGUCAAAUAUUGGAGAAGACAAACAUAAAGCGUAGGGCCACAGAGCCAAAAAAGACAGACAAAAAUACUUCUAUUGAAAGAAAGGAAAGGGCACUUGAUGUACAGGAAGUUUCCCAUAGCUGAGUGCUUGCUUAAAAGGAUUCAUCCCCUUUUCUGGCACAGGAUCAUACUUGCUAUUCAAGUAUCUUCCACAGCUGAGGGAAAAAUAAACAACAAACAGCCUUUCUCUUGACCUCUCUAUCCAGAGUAAUCACGUUCAUCUACUUAGAGCAACAGUCAGGAUUAAAACAAAUGUACCAGGCUUUACUCUAGUGAGCCCCAC